CCAGUGAACAAUUAAACGGCCGCGGUACCCUAACCGUGCAAAGGUAGCGUAAUCAUUUGUCUACUAAUUAUAGACCUGUAUGAAAGGCAAAAUGAGGGCCUGACUGUCUCUUAUAAUAAAUCAAUUAAACUGAUCUCCUAGUAAAAAAGCUAGAAUUCCAACAUAAGACCAGAAGACCCUGUGAAGCUUAAACUAAACCAUUAAACCCAAUAAUGAUUACUUUCGGUUGGGGCGACCUUGGAAAAAAAAAGAACUUCCAAACAAUGUGACUAAUCACACCCAAUACUAGGCCUACAAGCCAAUAAACGACCCAGCACAGCUGACAAAUGAACCAAGUUACUCCAGGGAUAACAGCGCAAUCUUCUUCAAGAGCCCAUAUCAAAAAGAAGGUUUACGACCUCGAUGUUGGAUCAGGACAUCCUAAUGGUGCAGCCGCUAUUAAGGGUUCGUUUGUUCAACGAUUAAUAGUCCUACGUGAUCUGAGUUAAAACCGGACYUUAYUCRUUGAACAAAGGACCCUUAAUAGCGGCUGCACCAUUAGGAUGUCCUGAUCCACAUCGAGGUCGUAAACCUUCUUUUUGAUAUGGGCUCUUGAAAAAAAUUGCCUGUUAUCCUGGGAGUAACUUGGUUCAUUUGUCGCUGUGCUGGGUCUUUAUUGGCUUGUAGGCUAGUAUUGGGUGUGAAUUWAUCAAUUKUUAGGAAAUUUUUUUUU
rnacentral:rRNA from 1 species